rnacentral:rRNA from 1 species
AGCAGCCGCGGUAAUUCCAGCUCCAAUAGCGUAUAUUAAAGUUGCUGCAGUUAAAAAGCUCGUAGUUGAAUUUCGGGACCAAUAUGUCGGUCGUGCCUCGGUACGUACUGGCAUCGUUGGUUUCUCCCUUCUGACGAACCAUGAUGUCAUUUAUUUGGUGUCGUGGGGAAUCAGGACUGUUACUUUGAGAAAAUUAGAGUGUUUAAAGCAGGCUCACGCUUGAAUACAUUAGCAUGGAAUAAUGAAAUAGGACGUUUGAUUCUAUUUUGUUGGUUUCUAGGAUCGACGUAAUGAUUAAUAGGGAUAGUUGGGGGCAUUAGUAUUCAAUUGUCAGAGGUGAAAUUCUUGGAUUUAUUGAAGACUAACUACUGCGAAAGCAUUUGCCAAGGAUGUUUUCAUUAAUCAAGAACGAAAGUUAGGGGAUCGAAGACGAUCAGAUACCGUCGUAGUCUUAACCAUAAACUAUAGCCGACUAGGGAUCGGAUGAUGUUAAUUUUUAAUGA